CCGAACUGUCGACACGAGUUGUUGCUGGUCCUCAAAUGUGGGGGCAUGUGCACGCUCUGUUUACAAAUCCAUCCACACCUGUGCACCCUCAGUAGUUCUGUGGCGUGGAGGACACCGUCCUCCGGCCGUGGUUCUACAUCUUUACACACACACACACACAGUGAUAAAGUCCAAUGGGAUGUAUGUAGCGUUUAACGCAAUAUAAUACAACUUUCAGCAACGGAUCUCUUGGCUCUCGCAUCGAUGAAGAACGCAGCGAAAUGCGAUAAGUAAUGUGAAUUGCAGAAUUCAGUGAAUCAUCGAAUCUUUGAACGCACCUUGCGCCCUUUGGCCAUUCCGAAGGGCAUGCCUGUUUGAGUAUCAUGAACACCUCAACCCUCAUGGUUUACCAUGACGGGCUUGGACUUUGGGGGUCUUGCUGGAUCGUAGUCAGCUCCCCUUAAAUGGAUCAGCUUGCCAGUGUCUGGUGGCAUCACAGGUGUGAUAAAUAUCUACGCUUGCGAUUUUACAUCAGGUAACCUUCAGAGAUGGGGGUUCGCUGGGGCUCACAAAAGGUGUCUCUCCUCCAUGAGGAUGGCUCUUUGAACG
rnacentral:sRNA from 1 species